rnacentral:rRNA from 1 species
GAUCAAGCGCAAUAAGGGCGUUUGGUGGAUGCCUAGGCAGUAAGAGGCGAUGAAGGACGUGAUACUCUGCGAUAAGCCAUGGGGAGCCGAGAAUAGGCUUUGAUCCAUGGAUCUCCGAAUGGGGCAACCCACUUGAAUGUUUGUUAUGACCGCCCGCAAGGGCGGCUCAUAACGAGCAUAACAAGUACUUAUGACCUGAAUACAUAGGGUUUUAAGAGCGAACCCGGGGAACUGAAACAUCUAAGUACCCGGAGGAAAGGACAUCAACAGAGACUCCCCCAGUAGCGGCGAGCGAACGGGGACCAGCCGAGCCUUGAGAGUGAGAAGAACGCGUUGGAAAGCGCGGCCAUAGCGGGUGACAGCCCCGUAUUCGAAGCUCGAUGGGACGUAUCAAGUAGGGCGGGACACGUGAAAUCCUGUCCGAAGAUCGGGGGACCACCCUCGAAGGCUAAGUACUCCUUACUGACCGAUAGCGAACCAGUACCGUGAGGGAAAGGUGAAAAGCACCCCGACGAGGGGAGUGAAACAGUCCCUGAAACCGGACGCCUACAAGCAGUCGGAGCCUCCAUGAGAGGUGACGGCGUACCUUUUGUAUAAUGGGUCAUCGACUUGGUGUUACGAGCAAGCUUAAGCCGAUAGGUGUAGGCGCAGCGAAAGCGAGUCUUAAUAGGGCGAAUGAGUUCGUGGCAUCAGACCCGAAACCGAGUGAUCUAGGCAUGUCCAGGAUGAAGGUGAGGUAACACUCACUGGAGGUCCGAACCCACACCUGUUGAAAAAGGUCGGGAUGAGGUGUGCCUAGGGGUGAAAGGCCAAUCAAACUCGGAGAUAGCUGGUUCUCUGCGAAAUCUAUUUAGGUAGAGCGUCGCACGAAUACUCCCGGGGGUAGAGCACUGGAUGGGUAAUGGGGGCCCACAGCCUUACUGAUCCUAACCAAACUCCGAAUACCGGGAAGUACUAUGCGGCAGACACACGGCGGGUGCUAACGUCCGUCGUGGAGAGGGAAACAACCCUGACCUACAGCUAAGGCCCCCAAUUCAUGGCUAAGUGGGAAAGCAGGUGGGACGACCAAAACAACCAGGAGGUUGGCUUAGAAGCAGCCAUCCUUUAAAGAUAGCGUAACAGCUCACUGGUCUAGACAAGUUGUCCUGCGGCGAAGAUGUAACGGGGCUCAAGCCAUGAGCCGAAGCUUAGGGUGUGUAGCAAUACACGCGGUAGCAGAGCGUAGUGUGACAUAGACUUUGUCUUAUCCUGAUCUUCUUGCAGGACUGUCGAAGGUGCCCGAGUGUUCGCACUCAAGCAGCCGAAGGCGGUAGUGCACUUAAGAAGAGAUCAGAAAAGACGAAGUCUUUACUGUGAAGCCGGCCUGUGAGGGAUCCGGUGGAGUGAUCACUAGCGAGAAUGAUGACAUGAGUAGCGACAAAGGGGGUGAGAGACCCCCUCGCCGAAAGUCCAAGGGUUCCUGCUUAAAGCUAAUCUGAGCAGGGUGAGCCGACCCCUAAGGCGAGGCCGAAAGGCGUAGUCGAUGGGAACCAGGUUAAUAUUCCUGGGCCAGGAGGAUGUGACGGAUCGCGGCUGUUGUUCGACCUUAUCGGAUUGGUCGGGCAGCGAAGCGGUCCCUGGAAAUAGCCCUCCAUGAGAUCGUACCCUAAACCGACACAGGUGGACUGGUAGAGAAUACCAAGGCGCUUGAGAGAACGACGUUGAAGGAACUCGGCAAAAUACCUCCGUAAGUUCGCGAGAAGGAGGCCCGGUUUUUGCGCAAGCAGAGGCCGGGGGCACAAACCAGGGGGUGGCGACUGUUUACUAAAAACACAGGGCUCUGCGAAGUCGCAAGACGACGUAUAGGGUCUGACGCCUGCCCGGUGCUGGAAGGUUAAAAGGAGGAGUGCAAGCUCCGAAUUGAAGCCCCAGUAAACGGCGGCCGUAACUAUAACGGUCCUAAGGUAGCGAAAUUCCUUGUCGGGUAAGUUCCGACCUGCACGAAUGGCGUAACGACUUCCCCGCUGUCUCCAACGUCGACUCAGCGAAAUUGAAUUGCCUGUCAAGAUGCAGGCUCCCCGCGGUUAGACGGAAAGACCCCGUGCACCUUUACUACAGCUUCAGACUGGCAUCAGGCUGGGCAUGUGCAGGAUAGGUGGUAGGCAUCGAAGCAGGGACGCCAGUCUCUGUGGAGCCAUCCUUGAGAUACCACCCUUGCGCUGCUUGAUGUCUAACCGCGGACCGUCAUCCGGUUCCGGGACCCUCUGUGGCGGGUAGUUUGACUGGGGCGGUCGCCUCCCAAACAGUAACGGAGGCGCGCGAAGGUUGGCUCAGAGCGGUCGGAAAUCGCUCGUCGAGUGCAAUGGCAUAAGCCAGCCUGACUGCAAGACAGACAAGUCGAGCAGAGACGAAAGUCGGCCAUAGUGAUCCGGUGGUCCCGAGUGGAAGGGCCAUCGCUCAACGGAUAAAAGGUACGCCGGGGAUAACAGGCUGAUACUGCCCAAGAGUCCAUAUCGACGGCAGUGUUUGGCACCUCGAUGUCGGCUCAUCUCAUCCUGGGGCUGGAGCAGGUCCCAAGGGUAUGGCUGUUCGCCAUUUAAAGAGGUACGUGAGCUGGGUUUAGAACGUCGUGAGACAGUUCGGUCCCUAUCUGCCGUGGGUGCAGGAUACUUGAGAGGAGUUGCCCCUAGUACGAGAGGACCGGGGUGAACGAUCCACUGGUGGACCAGUUGUCGUGCCAACGGCAGUGCUGGGUAGCUAUGAUCGGAAAGGAUAACCGCUGAAGGCAUCUAAGCGGGAAGCCCCCCUCAAAACAAGGUAUCCCCAUCAGGACCGUGGAAGACCACCACGUCGAUAGGCCGGAGAUGUAAGCGCAGCAAUGUGCUCAGUUGACCGGUACUAAUCGUCCGAUCGGCUUGACCUG